rnacentral:rRNA from 1 species
GACGAACGCUGGCGGCGUGCUUAACACAUGCAAGUCGAACGGAAAGGCCCUGCUUUUGUGGGGUGCUCGAGUGGCGAACGGGUGAGUAACACGUGAGUAACCUGCCCUUGACUUUGGGAUAACUUCAGGAAACUGGGGCUAAUACCGGAUAGGAGCUCCUGCUGCAUGGUGGGGGUUGGAAAGUUUCGGCGGUUGGGGAUGGACUCGCGGCUUAUCAGCUUGUUGGUGGGGUGGUGGCUUACCAAGGCUUUGACGGGUAGCCGGCCUGAGAGGGUGACCGGCCACAUUGGGACUGAGAUACGGCCCAGACUCCUACGGGAGGCAGCAGUGGGGAAUAUUGCACAAUGGGCGGAAGCCUGAUGCAGCAACGCCGCGUGCGGGAUGACGGCCUUCGGGUGGUAAACCGCUUUCGCCUGUGACGAAGCGUGAGUGACGGUAAUGGGUAAAGAAGCACCGGCUAACUACGU